AUUGAACGCUGGCGGCAUGCCUUACACAUGCAAGUCGAACGGCAGCAUGGAGAGCUUGCUCUCUGAUGGCGAGUGGCGAACGGGUGAGUAAUGCAUCGGAACGUACCGUGUAAUGGGGGAUAACGUAGCGAAAGUUACGCUAAUACCGCAUACGACCUGAGGGUGAAAGCAGGGGAUCGCAAGACCUUGCGUUAUACGAGCGGCCGAUGUCAGAUUAGCUAGUUGGUGGGGUAAAGGCUCACCAAGGCGACGAUCUGUAGCGGGUCUGAGAGGAUGAUCCGCCACACUGGGACUGAGACACGGCCCAGACUCCUACGGGAGGCAGCAGUGGGGAAUUUUGGACAAUGGGGGCAACCCUGAUCCGGCCAUGCCGCGUGAGUGAAGAAGGCCUUCGGGUUGUAAAGCUCUUUCGGCCGGGAAGAAAUCGCACAGGCUAAUACUCUGUGUGGAUGACGGUACCGGCAUAAGAAGCACCGGCUAACUACGUGCCAGCCGCCGCGGUAA
rnacentral:rRNA from 1 species